GACGAACGCUGGCGGCGUGCUUAACACAUGCAAGUCGAACGGAAAGGCCCUGCUUUUGUGGGGUGCUCGAGUGGCGAACGGGUGAGUAACACGUGAGUAACCUGCCCUUGACUUUGGGAUAACUUCAGGAAACUGGGGCUAAUACCGGAUAGGAGCUCCUGCUGCAUGGUGGGGGUUGGAAAGUUUCGGCGGUUGGGGAUGGACUCGCGGCUUAUCAGCUUGUUGGUGGGGUAGUGACUUACCAAGGCUUUGACGGGUAGCCGGCCUGAGAGGGUGACCGGCCACAUUGGGACUGAGAUACGGCCCAGACUCCUACGGGAGGCAGCAGUGGGGAAUAAUGCACAAUGGGCGGAAGCCUGAUGCAGCAACGCCGCGUGCGGGAUGACGGCCUUCGGGUUGUAAACCGCUUUCGCCUGUGACGAAGCGUGAGUGACGGUAAUGGGUAAAGAAGCACCGGCUAACUACGUG
rnacentral:rRNA from 1 species